ACGGGAGGCAGCAGUGGGGAAUAUUGCACAAUGGAGGAAACUCUGAUGCAGCGACGCCGCGUGAGUGAAGAAGUAAUUCGUUAUGUAAAGCUCUAUCAGCAGGGAAGAUAGUGACGGUACCUGACUAAGAAGCUCCGGCUAAAUACGUGCCAGCAGCCGCGGUAAUACGUAUGGAGCAAGCGUUAUCCGGAUUUACUGGGUGUAAAGGGAGUGUAGGUGGCCAUGCAAGUCAGAAGUGAAAAUCCGGGGCUCAACCCCGGAACUGCUUUUGAAACUGUAAGGCUAGAGUGCAGGAGGGGUGAGUGGAAUUCCUAGUGUAGCGGUGAAAUGCGUAGAUAUUAGGAGGAACACCAGUGGCGAAGGCGGCUCACUGGACUGUAACUGACACUGAGGCUCGAAAGCGUGGGGAGCAAACAGGAUUAGAUACCCUGGUA
rnacentral:rRNA from 1 species